rnacentral:rRNA from 1 species
CAAGACUUGACAUAUACGAGAACGGGCCAGAAAUGGUCAACUCUUUGGACACUCGUAAACAGGUGGUGCAUGGUUGUCGUCAGCUCGUGUCGUGAGAUGUUGGGUUAAGUCCCGCAACGAGCGCAACCCUCGUCCUAUGUUGCCAGCACGUAAUGGUGGGAACUCAUGGGAUACUGCCGGGGUCAACUCGGAGGAAGGUGGGGAUGACGUCAAAUCAUCAUGCCCCUUAUGUCUUGGGCUUCACGCAUGCUACAAUGGCCGGUACAAAGGGCUGCAAUACCGUAAGGUGGAGCGAAUCCCAAAAAGCCGGUCUCAGUUCGGAUUGAGGUCUGCAACUCGACCUCAUGAAGUCGGAGUCGCUAGUAAUCGCAGAUCAGCAACGCUGCGGUGAAUACGUUCCC